AGCAAGUCGACGAUGAAGCCCUUCGGGGUGGAUUAGUGGCGAACGGGUGAGUAACACGUGGGCAAUCUGCCCUUCACUCUGGGACAAGCCCUGGAAACGGGGUCUAAUACCGGAUACGACACGGGGUCGCAUGACCUCCGUGUGGAAAGCUCCGGCGGUGAAGGAUGAGCCCGCGGCCUAUCAGCUUGUUGGUGGGGUGAUGGCCUACCAAGGCGACGACGGGUAGCCGGCCUGAGAGGGCGACCGGCCACACUGGGACUGAGACACGGCCCAGACUCCUACGGGAGGCAGCAGUGGGGAAUAUUGCACAAUGGGCGAAAGCCUGAUGCAGCGACGCCGCGUGAGGGAUGACGGCCUUCGGGUUGUAAACCUCUUUCAGCAGGGAAGAAGCGAAAGUGACGGUACCUGCAGAAGAAGCGCCGGCUAACUACGUGCCAGCAGCCGCGGUAAUACGUAGGGCGCAAGCGUUGUCCGGAAUUAUUGGGCGUAAAGAGCUCGUAGGCGGCUUGUCACGUCGGAUGUGAAAGCCCGGGGCUUAACCCCGGGUCUGCAUUCGAUACGGGCAGGCUAGAGUUCGGUAGGGGAGAUCGGAAUUCCUGGUGUAGCGGUGAAAUGCGCAGAUAUCAGGAGGAACACCGGUGGCGAAGGCGGAUCUCUGGGCCGAUACUGACGCUGAGGAGCGAAAGCGUGGGGAGCGAACAGGAUUAGAUACCCUGGUAGUCCACGCCGUAAACGUUGGGAACUAGGUGUGGGCGACAUUCCACGUCGUCCGUGCCGCAGCUAACGCAUAAGUUCCCCGCCUGGGGAGUACGGGCGCAAGGUAAAACUCAAUGAAUUGACGGGGA
rnacentral:rRNA from 1 species